rnacentral:lncRNA from 1 species
ACAAACACAAGAGAAACGCAAAGACAAGAAAGAGAAAAAAAAAUGAAGACAAAACCUGCAUGCAAGAAAACAUGCAACCAAUCGUAACGAAGGGAUAAAAAAACUAAAAAAACCAAAAAGUAGAAACAGCGUUAGAAGACGUAAUGAAAGGAGGAAAAGAAAUGAAAAAAUAAUAAAAUGAAAAAAUAAAAAAUGUAAAGCAAACCACCGUAGGGGCCACAGAGGCCACCACUCCUAUCACGAGAAGAACGACGACAAAAGCAUGCAAAACCAUGCAAAAACAACAAAAUCCACGUGAAGGAAACCAAAACUCCAGCGGGUAAAAGAAAGAAAGGUGAAAGAAAGUAAAGAAAC